rnacentral:rRNA from 1 species
AUUGAACGCUGGCGGCAGGCCUAACACAUGCAAGUCGAACGAGUGGCGGACGGGUGAGUAAUGUCUGGGAAACUGCCUGAUGGAGGGGGAUAACUACUGGAAACGGUAGCUAAUACCGCAUACCAUCAGAUGUGCCCAGAUGGGAUUAGCUUGUAGGUGGGGUAACGGCUCCCCAAGGCGACGAUCCCUCGCUGGUCUGAGAGGAUGACCAUCAACAUUGGAUCUGAGACACGGUCAAGACGCCUACGGGAGGAAGCAGUGGUGAAUAUUGCACAAUGGGCGCAAGUCUGAUGCAGCCAUGCCGAGUGUAUGAAGAAGGCCUUCGGGUUGUAAAGUACUUUCAGCGGGGAGGCGUUACCCGCAGAAGAAGCACCGGCUAACUCCGUGCCAGCAGCCGCGGUAAUUC